rnacentral:rRNA from 1 species
CCUACGAGAGGCAGCAGUGGGGAAUAUUGGACAAUGGGGGGAACCCUGAUCCAGCGACGCCGCGUGAGUGAAGAAGUAUUUCGGUAUGUAAAGCUCUAUCAGCAGGGAAGAAAGAAAUGACGGUACCUGACUAAGAAGCCCCGGCUAACUACGUGCCAGCAGCCGCGGUACUACGUAGGGGGCAAGCGUUAUCCGGAUUUACUGGGGGUAAAGGGAGCGUAGACGGCGAUGUAAGUCUGAAGUGAAAGGCGGGGGCCCAACCCCUGGACUGCUUUGGAAACUGUAUGGCUGGAGUGCAGGAGAGGUAAGUGGAAUUCCUAGUGUAGCGGUGAAAUGCGUAGAUAUUAGGAGGAACACCAGUGGCGAAGGCGGCUUACUGGACUGUAACUGACGUUGAGGCUCGAAAGCGUGGGGAGCAAACAGGAUUAGAUACCCGAGUAGUC